rnacentral:tRNA from 1 species
GGUGGCUCAGUGGUAGAGUGCUUGCCUAGCAUGCAUGAGGUCCUGGGUUCAAUUCCUCAGCACCA